UACGGAGGGUGCAAGCGUUGCUCGGAAUUAUUGGGCGUAAAGGGUAGGUAGGUGGUCUCGUUUGUCUGGGUGAAAGCCUUGAGCUUAACUCAAGAAGUGCCCCAGAAACGGCGAGACUAGAGUCCUGGAGAGGGUCGUGGAAUUCCCGGUGUAGCGGUGAAAUGCGUAGAGAUCCGGAGGAACACCAGAGGCGAAGGCGGCAACCUGGCUCGUAACUGACGCUCAUACACGACAGCAUGGGAGCGAACGGG
rnacentral:rRNA from 1 species